rnacentral:tRNA from 1 species
GAAGGUAUAGCUCAGUGGUAGAGCAUGUGCUUAGCAGGCAGAAGGUCCUGGGUUCAAUCCCCAGUAAUCA